GACGUAGGGCGCGAGCGUUGUCCGGAUUUAUUGGGCGUAAAGAGCUCGUAGGCGGCUUGUCACGUCGUCCGUGAAAACCCACAGCUCAACUGUGGGCUUGCGGUCGAUACGGGCAGGCUAGAGUUCGGUAGGGGAGACUGGAAUUCCUGGUGUAGCGGUGAAAUGCGCAGAUAUCAGGAGGAACACCGGUGGCGAAGGCGGGUCUCUGGGCCGAUACUGACGCUGAGGAGCGAAAGCGUGGGGAGCGAACAGG
rnacentral:rRNA from 1 species